GUGUGCUAUUUAAGUUAUAAUAAAGCUCACGGUUGGGAGAAAGUUUCUUUUGUGCAUUAGUUGCUGUGUCAUCCCUGGGGCUGGAAUACCAGGUUAGGGUGUGGAAACUUCACAUUCCAGUCCUUGCCUGAUCGGCAUAAGGCAGAUGGCUGCCCUGACUGCAGUGUAAAUAAUGCAAUGGUUACUGGACCUGUAAGCCAUUAGGCUUGGAAGCACCAUAGUAUUCUGAACAACUGAACAUUACUUGCAAUAGGGAGUGUUGCCUCCAUCUCUUUUUUUAGUUGCCUCCAUUUCUUUCUUCAGUCACCUUCAGAAAAUUCUGAUGAAAUUAGUUCAUUCCAAGAGUGCAUGUUACCACAAGUUUUGACACUUCAUUGGUUUUCAAGGAAAAAAAUUAUGGCUUGUAAAAUUGCCAAUGCAUAGUAAUCGCUCCGUCCUUGGUAAGAGAAACUACUACAAAGAUGCUACUUCUUAAUAACCAGUGAACUGUGUCCAGCAAACACAGAAUUAGUUGCUGCUUCACCAUUUAGAGCAGAUGACCAGCCCAUGGAGGCCUAAGGCAAAAUGACUGCUCUGUGGAACAAAAUGGUCCUCCUUUGUGUGGACUCUCAGCUUCAAUGAAACAGUAAGUGACAACAUAAAAGUCCAGAUUUCUGAGGAAAGGGAUUUGAGAAAUUAUAUCACCUCAGGAAAAGUUUUUGUUUGUAGCUUGAGGUGACCUUUUUGCUUACAUGAUUCUGGUAAAAAAAAAAAAAAAAAAAAAAAAAGACUUUUUGAAUGCUUAAUUGCCAGGACUAAUUGUGUAGUUUAUUUUGGAUGUGUGUGUCAAGAUUCAUGCAGUCAUCAACUGGAUAAUUAAGAGGUUGAACAGAUCUGGCAGUGGUCUGCAGGUUAAUUGAAAGAAAUGGCACCAAAGGAGAGGGAGUUGCAUCUCAACACAAACUUGCCAAAUCAGAAAUGAAAAGCAAAAAAAAGUUCAUGUGGAUUGUAUGGGAAAAAAAAAAAAGGGAGCAAACCAACUGAAAUUAUUUCCUCCAGAAGAGUACAAAUAAAAUCCGAUAUGCUAGUUAUUAAUAGAUAUGUAAGCAAGUGUUACAUGUUAGAUCUGUGA